ensembl:lncRNA
CGGAAAGAAAGGAACCGGGUGACAGCCGCUGCGUGUAUCCGUCUAUAGCAAUGUGUCUGGGAAGGAACCAGCGUGGUUCAUCCUCGUUAGUAUAGUGGUGAGUAUCCCCGCCUGUCACGCGGGAGACCGGGGUUCGAUUCCCCGACGGGGAGGCCAGAAGGAGGAUUUUGCGUUUUAGCCUUCUUGAUCUCCUUCACCAUGAAGGAUCUGAGUAAAAGCCUGCAUUAUGGUCUCGUUAAUACUCUGAAAAACCGCCACCGUGGAGUGGAUCCUUACCGUUUCCUACUUCCGUGAAUUUUACAGGGAAUCCCUGAAUUCGGUUAGGGUGGUAUCAAUGACUUUGGCCUAAGAUAGCCUCUGUGCAUACGGUUAACGCAGAGAGGUCGUCCCAGCCCACCAACAGGGCAACCUCUCCAAAGAAACCUCCCACUUUCGCAUCUUACUCCAUUUUUGUCGUGAAGAUCGGUUUUGCUUUAUUUAUUUUUAUUUACUUGUUUGUAAAAGCCAAGUUAAAGCACUCUCUGAGAAGCCUAAACCAGGUUCCCACUUCUCACCAGGGUUUUGUUUUUUAAUUCCUCCUUGUCCUGUAAGCCGGGCAGGCUUUGAACUCCAGGAGCAAUUCUCCUGCCUCAGCCUCCCCAGUGCUUAGUUUACAGAACUUCAUCUCCUCCACUCCCAUUUCUUUGCUUUUUUUUUUUUUUUCCUUUUGACAAGACUUUAUGUACCCAAACUGAUUACUUUUUUAGAUUUGUUUGUUUUAUUUUAUGUGUUUUGCCCAAAUGUAUUGUAUCUAUGUGCACCACGGAGAUGUCUGCUGUUCGUACAGUAGAGGGGUCAGAUCCCCUGAAACUACAGUUGAUGGAUGUGAACCACCUUGAGGAUUCUGGGAACCGAGUCAGCCCGAAAUAAUAAGUGAGGUCAAAACAAUCCUGGACAAUUUAAUGAAACUGUCUCAAAUUAAAAAUUUAAAAGGUUGCUGGGCAGUGGUGGCACCCGCCUUUAAUCCCAGCACUAGGGAAGCAGAGGCAGGAGGAUCUUUGUUUGAGGCCAACCUGGUCUACAGAACGAGUGCCAGGACAGUCUCCAAAGCUACAGAGAAACCCUGUCUCGAAAAACCUAAAUAAAUAAAUAAAUAAAUAAAUAGAUAGAUAGAUAAAUAAAUAGAUAAAUGGACUGAGUGCAGAGUACUCAUCUACCAUAUGAGGUGGGCUGAGGCAGGAAAAGGGAGCAAGACCUCGUUUCUUCGAAAUCAUCCCCAUAUGUGACACCUGAACUCACUCUCAGUCCUGUCCAGGAAAACCCAGUGUGUGGAUGGAGAGGUAUACUGUAGCCUGACUGUGUGACCUCCAGCUGCCAAGCCAUGACAAAACCCCAAAGGCUGGAGUGUUAAACAACAGAAAGAAGUCCCUAGCAUUGUACACUGAAGCCAAAGGUUCUGGAAAUUUCCCAGAUGCUCUCCAUUAGAGUGAGUUGAAGUGUUUUCUAAAGCGUCCUACUCUGAAGCGCGUACUGUGAUGUUUGUUGAAGUCUGCUGGUGUACGCUUGGCGCCUAUUUAUUGACGUCUGCGGUCUGAAUUCAGGUGGCGAAAUAAAAAUUGAAGUAGGGAGUGACAUUUCAAAAGUGAGAUUCAGUCAAAUCGGAUUUAUAUUUUAUUUUUAUGAGUCAGUGGGUCGCGGAAUGCGAAGAAUCUUAAAGGAGCUUGUUGCCAAGCCUCGCGAUAGCUCGCUUCCUCGUUAGUAUAGUGCCUAUCUAAAUUCAACUCCCACGGACAUACUUCACCCCGUCGCAGAAGAAUAAGGCCGAUCCUCACUGAUAGGCUCCAUCCCCUUGCACACGACCUCAGCCCGGGCAGCAGGUCGCAAGAAAGACACUGUCCUCACCCAGCACUCCCUCCGUGUCCCCGGUACCCGCAGUCACAAGAUGGAAGAAGCCUGGGCCGGGCUCACUCUGCGACCCACACUGCGUCUCCGUCCUCCAGCCCCUGCCACAGGUAGCCUUCUGACGUCGGUGAAUUUGGGACGUUCUCUUGUCCCCAUACAAUUAAUUGUAUAUCUUCCCGAACUGUCACCAUCCUUCCAUUCAUUUGUUCCCUCGUGGGGCCCCUUAGAGGGGGUUGGGUGGUCAGUAACAAGGAGCGGAUCGCGAGAACUGGGGCAAUCAUUCCACGCUGAGGGAACAGCGAGCGCCAAGCUCGGCUUGCUCCUGGAGCCUUGUUCAAAGCCGGCCGGACACCCUUUCACCUGCCCGGUUCUCUCCCAGGCGGGGCCUCGGACCCAGGGCAGGAAGGGCCAGACCCAUCGCUCCUGGACUCCUCCAUCACCAAAGGGCAACGCAGCCUCCACCACCACCACCUCCCCAGCCCCGGGGGCAACAUGAUGUGGAACUUCACACCCGGGGCAGGGGGUGGCGAUGGGAAUGCAGCAGCCCUUUGCCGUCGUGCACACCAGCGACUGCUGCCACGUCGCCUUUUCCAGCCUAUAAAGGCUCUGUCCUUGUCGACUGUGCCGGCAAGCAGGGUUGGGACUGUCGGGGUCUCUCCACGACUCACUUGAGCCUCAGAGAGGUCAGGCAAGGUCAGCUGCUGUGCCCGGCAUUCUAGCCGGCGACAUCAGGCACCAGUAGUGUGAACGCGCUGACGGGUGUCAGCGACAGGCAGCUCGUUUGAGGGUAUAGCAUCCGGUGUAGCCCUGGGGCCUCUCCUCACUGCUCCCAGUCAAGCAACAACCCCCGUCCUACCCCCACCCCCACCCCAGACACUGUUCACAUUGGAGGGUCUGAGACCUCGCUCCAAACUUGAGUCCUAAUUGUGGAGUCUGAAAACGUUAGGCCAUUUUCAAAUCCAGAAAAUUCUUCCAGGAGAGGGGCAGCAGGCGGAGGGAGGGAGGGAGAAAGAGAGUAAGGGUUUCAGGAAGAUUUAUAAACUCAGUGAUUCAGGUUGGAAAGCAUCUCAGGGGUGAAGAAGCAGAGAAUUUUGAGUGAAGAACAUUGGGGUCAAGUCCUUAUUUACUGAGGAUUUAUUUUUACUUUGGUUGUUUUCUGAAUCAGGCAAAAUUUUAGCUUAUAUCUACGCAAUAACGAAUACAUUUGUUUGGGAAAUAUAAGACAAUUGAUUUUACUAAGCCCUUAGAACCCUUUUAAAUAAAUACACACAAAUUUAAUUUAGACAAAGAAGAAAAAAAAAACCCAAACCGUCAUUAAUGGAGUAUAGCAGGGAUUUUCCAAAGCGGACGAAGAGCGGGUGGGGGAUGUAGCUCAGUGGUAGAGCGCAUGCUUUGCAUGUAUGAGGCCCCGGGUUCGAUCCCCGGCAUCUCCACUUUUUUUUUUUUAACUCUAUUCCUAUUUCGGGGGUCUUUGAACCAGAAAAAACAUUCUUGUAAGGAUCAUCAUAGCGGUAACCUCUUGGAACUUAGAAUUUUGCAUUCGUUCUUAUCCUGAAGCCUGUAAAUUUUUAAAAAUGCGUCGCUGGAGGGACCAUAAAAGAGUAGGCAACAGGGAAAAGUGAGUACCGUACAGGUUUGAAGAUUGCAAAGCCAGAGGGAGAACCACCAGGGUUUUUUGCAUGUGGUGGCUCCAGGACACUCUAGGACGCUGACCCCCCCCCCCUCCCCCGGGGGCUUUUCAUGCUUAGAGAUGCACAGUGCCUGCGUGUCUUACCAUUCAAUUAAAGGUGCACUUUAGUGCUGGCUUCGGCAGUACAUACAUAUACUAGAACUGAAACGACCUGCCUCUGCCUCCUCAAGGCUGGGAUUAACAGUUUGGGCUUUUUAUUUUAUUUUUACAUUUUUACUUUCUUUUUUGUGUAUAUGGGUUUUUGUCUGCAUGUUUCGUGAACCAUGUGUGUGGACUUUUCAAGGAGAUCAGAAGGGAGUGUCAGGUCCCCUGCAAUUAGAGUUACAGAUAUUAGAGAGCAGCCAUGUGGGUGCUGGGAACUGCACCUGGGUCCUCUGCAAGAGCAACCAGUGUUCUUAACCACUGAACCAUUUCUCCAGCCCCUUACAGUGAAUAUUUAUCAUAUUCACCCCUCACAUUCCCCUCCAGUUCCUCCAGGAACAUCCUAUCCCCAUGUCCUCCUCCCAAAUUCAUACCCCCCAAUAUAUGUGUAAACUUACUGAGUCCAGUUUGUGCUUCCCAUAUACCAUGGGUGGGGUCAUUCACUGGAGUAUGGUCAACCUACCAGGGACCCUCCCUUCCUAGCAGCGAUCAACUCUCCAUAGCUCUUCAGUCCCCUUCUCCAUGAACGCUGGACUGCUGACUGGCUAUUGUUGUUGUGAAACGGUUUUACGAGGUAGGCUAGGCUAGUCUUGAACUCAUAGAGAUCCACCUGCCUUUGCCUCUCAAGUGCUCAGAUAAACGACAUGAAUCAACACUGCCAGUUUAUUUUCUUUAAAAAAAAAAAAAUAGAAGAGAGAAUGAGAAACAGAUUUCCUUACAGCAUUUUAGUAGCUACUUGACUUUGCUUGACUCUCCAUAUUCUCCUCAUGUGGGUGCUGGGAACCAAACCUGGGUCCUCUGCAAGAGCAGUAAAUGUGAUUAUUCUCUAAGCCGGAAGAAAAAAUAUAAUAUUCUCCCAGACUCCAUCCCUGCCUAAACCUUUCUGCCCCACUAUUCCUCCUCUCUCUUUUUCUUUCUUUCUCCCUUACUUUCUUUCUUGAGACAGGGUCUCUUUAUGUCGCCCUAACUCCUGCCUCUGCCACUCUGGUGCUGGAUUAAAGAUACACACCACACACCCAGCUUCCCUUUCCAUUUCCUUAUUUCAUGUGUUCUAUUGCCUUGUCACUGCUCUUCAUAAAGCCCUGUUUUUCCUCUUUCUAGACCCCCUACUUUCCUAGUCGAAAUUCAUAUGCAUACAUAAAAAUUAGAAGCUAAUAUUGCCACAUAAAAGAGAAUUUGGAAUGUUUGUCUUUUUUAAAGCAAACAGUCUUUAUUCUUUCUUAAGGUUUAUUUACUUAUUAAGUAUACACUAUUCCACCUGCAUGUUCCCUGCACUGCAGGGCAGAAGAGGGCACCAGAUCUCUGUACAGACACAGAUGGUUGUAAGUCACCAUGUCAUUGCUGGGAACUGAACUCAGGACCUCUGGAAGAACAAGCAGAGGGCUCUUAGCCUCUGAGCCAUCUCUCCAGCUCAGAAUGGUUGUCUUUCUUAGCCCAAGUUACUUCACUUAAUAUAAUAUUUUUUCAAUUUUAUCCAUCGUCCUGCAAAUUGAAUAAUUUUGUUUUUCUUUCUGGCUGAAUGUCUUUUAUUAACUUGUUGACAAUUUCACACAUGUAAACAAUGGACCUUGAUAAUGUUCACUCCCAACUCUCUCCCACUCUUGCCACCCCCAUUCCCAACCCAUCCCUUUCCUCUUUUUUUUUUUGUUGUUGUUGUUGUUUUUCUUUUUUAUUUAUUUCUUUAUUUAUUUGUUUGGUUUUUUUGUUUGUUUGUUUUUCAAGACAGGGUUUCUCUGUGGCUUUGGAGGCUGUUCUGGAACUAGCUCUUGUAGACCAGGCUGAACUCACAGAGAUCCGCCUGCCUGUGCCUCCAGUGUGCUGGGAUUAAAGGCGUGUGCCACCACUGCCUGGCCAUCCCUUUCCUCUUUAUGUCAAAGUUUUUCUUUAUUAUUUUCAAAGUAUUUUUAUACGUGUGUGUUCUCCUGCAUGUACGUAUGUCUGUGCACCACUGGUGUGGCUGGUGCCUGAGGAAGCCAGGAAAGGGUGUCAGAUCCCUUGAAACUGAAGCCAGGGCUCUUUCUUAACUGCUGAGCCAUUUCUCCAGCCUAUUAUCAUUUUUGAGACAGGGUCUCACGAAGUAGCCCUGAUCUGGACCCCACCAUGUAGAUCAGGCUGGCCUCAAACUCAGGGAUUCACCUGUGUCUUCCCUUCCUGGUGCAGGGCAAAGUUUUAUUUUUGAGACAAGAUGGCUGAUAUGACUCACCAUUUAUGUCCUGACACAUUGGCUUAAUGAGCCUGGGGAAUAUUCUUUCUCCCAAUGUCAACAAGGCUUAAAAGAAGUUGAUGGUUACUUUUCAAAUGGUCUGUCCAGUUUGACGGGAAACUAAUUACCUGCUUCCAUUUUACCCUUUAUCUUUACCUUCCCAAUACUAGGAAUAAGGGAAAACACCAGGAGGAGUCAUCACUGACAAAGGCUUGUGCUAGAAAUGCUUCGGGCAUCUCUCGGGCUAUGAGAGUUGUGUGUGUGUGUGUGUGUGUGUGUGUGUGUUUUUGCAGGGGUUGAGGGUUUGAGACAGGAUUUCUCUGUGUAGCUUUGGAACCUGUCUUGGAACUAGCUCUUGUAGACCAGGCUGGUCUCGAACUCACAGAGACCUGCCUGACUCUGCCUCCCAAGUGCUGGGAUUAAAGGCAUGCACCACCACUGCCAGGCCUUCUUUGGUUUUUUGUUUGUUUGUUUUUUAAACAGAGUUUCUCUGUGUAUCCCAGGUUGUCUUGGAAAUCCCUCUGUAGACCAGGCUGGCCUUGAACUCACAGAGAUCUGUCUUUGCCUCCUGAUUGCAGGAUUAAAGGCAUGAGCCACCAAUACCCAACAAAAAAACAUAUUUUUUUUUCAUUAGGCGGAGCUUGGGGAAUCCUUGGAAGAGGGGGAGGAAGGUUUGUAGGAUGAAGUGGGGUCAAGGGCACCACAAGAAAUCUCACAGAACCAAUUAACUUGGGUUCAUAGAGGCUCACAGAUACUGAAGUGACAACCAGGGAUCAUGAUGGGACUGACCUAGGUAGGUCCUCUCUAUAUAUGUAGUUCUGAAGCUUGGUCUUCUUGUGGGAUCUCACAUUGAGAGCAGUGGAUGUCUCCAGCUUUGUUGCCUGCUUUGGGGACCCAUUCCUCCUACUAGAUGCCUCAUCCAGCCUUAAUAGAAGAGGAUGUGCCUAGUCUCACUGCAAAGAAUGCCUGAUAUCCAUGGGAUGCCGGCCUGUAUCUGAAGAGAAACAGUGGAGGAGUGGAUGAAUUGGGGGUCGG